rfam:Aedes aegypti strain Liverpool supercont1.23 genomic scaffold, whole genome shotgun sequence.
AAAACGGCCCUUUUCAGGACCACCAAGUGUUGACUAAAGAGUUAUUU